GCAGUCGGCCGGGUGAUCGCUGCCUGGUGGCGCUCGCGCUGCCAGGGGGAGGAAAGUCCGAGCUCCGCAGGGCAGGGUGCCGGGUAACGCCCGGUGGGGUGACCUGGGCGAAAGUGCCACAGAGACAAACCGUCGCGGGUCCAGGGUCUGCGUUCGCGCGGGCCGGGGGGGCGCGGUAAGGGUGAAAGGGUGCGGUAAGAGCGCACCGGGGCCCUGGUAACAGGGCUCGCACGGCAAACCCCACCCGGAGCAAGACCGAACAGGGAGGGCCCGGUCCUCGUGACCGGGCCGGGGCGGCCCGCCCUCAUCCCAGGUAAGGUCGCUCGAGCCGGCUGGUAACAGCCGGCCUAGAGGAAUGAUCGCCACGCGCGGCGGGUAACCAAGGCGCGGACAGAACUCGGCUUACAGGCCGGUCUGCGGCG
rnacentral:RNase_P_RNA from 1 species